UACGUAGGGGGCUAGCGUUGUCCGGAAUCAUUGGGCGUAAAGCGCGCGUAGGCGGCCCAGUAAGUCCGUUGUAAAAGUCAAAGGCUCAACCUUUGAAAGCCGAUGGAUACUGCUGGGCUAGAGUCCGGAAGAGGCGAGUGGAAUUCCUGGUGUAGCGGUGGAAUGCGCAGAUAUCAGGAGGAACACCGAUGGCGAAGGCAGAUCUCUGGGCCGUAACUGACGCUGAGGAGCGAAAGCAUGGGGAGCGAACAGG
rnacentral:rRNA from 1 species